UCCUGCUCAAUGAUUAGUUUUAAAUGGCUGCAGUAUUCUGACUGUACAAAGGUAGCAUAAUAAUUAGUUUCUUAAUUAGGAACUUGAAUGAAUGGAUUAAUGAGAAAAAUAUUUUAUUAAUUUUAAUUUUAAAAUUUAAUUUUUAAGUGAGAAAGCUUAAUUGUUUAUUUGGGACGAAAAGACCCUAAAGAACUUCAUUUUGAUAAUUUUAUUUAGUUUUAUUUUUAUUAUUAAUUUUUUUGUUGGGGUGAUAAAUAAAUUAAACUUUAUUUUUAAAAUUCAUUAAUUUAUGAUUAUUGAUCCUUAUUUUAAGAUUAAAAGUUUAAGUUACCUUAGGGAUAACAGCGUUAUUUCAAUGGGAAGUUCGUAUUUAUAUUGAAGUUUGCGACCUCGAUGUUGAAUUAAGAAAAGUAUAGGGGGUAG
rnacentral:rRNA from 1 species